CUCAAGAUGUGAUACACAGAAUAGACUGGAAAAGAUGAGAAUUCCUCUGGAGGGGAGACAAAUCCUGCUUUGGGGGUCAUUAUUUAGUGAGAUGGAAAAUGUAUGUCGACCAAAAUUUCUGAGGAGGAUGGGAGUCAUAGAUUUGAGAACUUUUAACUAAUGUCUUCUAACCAAAAGAUGGUGGUGCCUUCUCCAAGACCAGUCAAAAAUCUGGAACAAACUUGUGCUGAAGUUGCACUAUCAAAACAACCCUCCAAACAUCAAGGAACCAUGCAACAUCACCUAUGCAUCCCCAGUUUGGAAAAGCGUUCUCAAGGUUCGAAACAUAUUCUGUGAGAGUUGUAUCUUUCAAGUGGGCAAAGGAAAUUAACUUCCUUUUGGAAGGAUCACUAGAUUGGUAAUUCAAACCUCAAAGAGGAAUUUCCAGACUUGUUCCUUUUAUCCACAUCACCUGAUAGCUCAAUGAUAGAAUUUUUUGAUAGAAAAGAUUUAAUAACAAUGUUUAGAACCCCUCUAAUGGCUUUGGUCAACUCAGAUAUGAGCAGCUUAAGAAUCCUCUUCAAACUACUACACCUAAAGAAGGACAAGAUCCA
rnacentral:lncRNA from 1 species